rnacentral:rRNA from 1 species
UACGAAGGGGGCUAGCGUUGUUCGGAAUUAUUGGGCGUAAAGAGCACGUAGGCGGCUGUGUAAGUCGGUUGUGAAAGCCUUCCGCUUAACGGAAGAACGGCAUCCGAUACUGCAUAGCUUGAGUGCGGGAGGGGAGAGUGGAACUUCUGGUGGAGCGGUGAAAUGCGUAGAUAUCAGAAGGAACACCGGCGGCGAAGGCGACUCUCUGGUCCGUAACUGACGCUGAGUGUGCGAAAGCUAGGGGAGCAAACGGG